rnacentral:lncRNA from 1 species
AAAGGGUGCAGAGGCAACAGUGGAGAAAGAGAGGGAUUAAGGAGCGGCAGGGAUGGCAUUAACGCGCGGAACCAACCUAUUGUGGUGAUCGAAGGCAAACAAGCAGCAGCUACAGAGGGAGGAGGCCCCCUUGGCGUUGGACCUCGGCCAGCGUGCUCCGCUCUUCAGUAUCCACACCACUACAUCAUCUCCCUCGCUUUCAAUGAACUGUUCUUUUUUCCUGCUUUCUCUUCUUUUUAACCUUUUUAUUCUCACUUUUUCUCACCUUGUGUGAGUUUGAGCUUGGCAGCGUGCGUACCUCUGGGUUUGUGUCGCAGGGGAGGAGCCGGCAGGCACUGGCGGUGGGUUCUCGGGCUGUGGCUGUGUGUAGCCUAGCUAGCCUUUUGCUUUGUUUUGCUCCAUCUUUUCUUUGUCUCAUGAGACGCUUGUACAGUGCAAGGGAUUGACACUCUCUUUCACUCUUUUGUGGAGCAGGACUCUCUCUCUCUCUCUCUCUCUCUCUCUCUCUCUCUCUCUCUCUCUGCCUUGGAAAUUUCCCAGUCAAAACAAAAGAGCUUCUCUGUGUUUUGCCUAAGGACUUGCUUGUGGUCGUAGUAAUUACUGAGAUGGCAUUUUGGCUAGGCCACAGUGUUUCCGGAG